rnacentral:lncRNA from 1 species
UUAUUUCUAAAUACAUUUAUUGUAGUUUAAAGACACAUUACUAUGAAAAUUGUUACUGAGGGUCUCUGUUAUACACUCAGAAACACCAACAAUAUGGAUCGCCUAAAAAAGAAAGACAUUAGGAUAGAAAAGAGGGACAUACAGCAUGACCAUUUCACAGUCUUUGCUAAUGGGCAAUGUUUAAGAAAAGUUACAUUUCAAUUGCUAAACUGAUUUACCUCCAUCUAAUCAAUCAUUUAAAAGAAUCCCACAUAAGUGCCAACAUCUAAUCAAGGGAGGAGUACAAAAUGGCAACACCUGGCAAUUGACAUCUGGCACAAGGGGAAAAAAAAAUUACUAUAAAGGCAAGUAGCAAGAGACAGAGUAUAUUUAUUUUAAGAAACAGAAGGAUAAGGAGAGGAAAACUGAGAGAAAAAAUAAAAAUAUCACUGUGCCGCAUUAAAAGAAACAUAGCGGAUUUUUAUUCUGUGCAUCCUGGACAUGUUUUUCUAUCAAAUUCUGUGGUGAGCCCAGAAAUGUUUAAAUCUACAAAGGGUCUUUGUCAAGAUAGGCCCACUCGACAUUUUAGAGUUCAUACGUCUGGUGUUGCUUGUGAAUCCAUCAUUUCUAUUACUACAAGGAUUAGAGGGAUUAUGGGACUCUGGAUACAGCACUCUAUUAGUGUCCCUAUAAAAUAGAAAUCAAACAGCAGGGGCAUCCAAUUGGUUUCCAUAGCAAUCUGCAAUAUGAUAACGGAAUCAACCUGCACAAUUAAUACAAUCUCACUGUAGUCAGUGUCAUAGUUAACUACUCGAACCUCAAGGUUCUAUGUCAUUGAAUCAUGGAAGGGAAAAUGGUUGCUCUGGACACAACUUUUGUUUCACUGCCAUAGAAACGAGACACACAAUGUGAGCUGCUGACAAAGACCUGCAGAGUAACUCUAGACACAUUAUCCGCAGCUCAUCCCAAAGACACAACAGGCAGAGGUUGAAAUGUCUCAAGAAUGGGAAGAAUUAAGAGAGAUAUAUGAAAAAAGGGAAACAUGGUGUGCUGUGGAACCAGAUGGCAAGCAGUACUGGACCAGAGCCGAGUUGAGGCACUACCCUCAGAAAGACACAAAUCCUUUGAUUUAUCAGUGGCCACCGUAUUCAAGAAUGUCAUGGGCAAGCCAAACUCCAAAACACAGGGAGAAAAGACACUUUUCUAAUGCAGGUAAGUGUACAUUGCACCCCAUGCUCUUGUUUACCGGUCAGACUUUGAAAGUUCAUGAAUGAUGAUACCAAUUGUAAACUGGAUACAAGGAAGAUGCCAAAUAUAAACCAUGUAAUGAAAAAUAGUUUGAUCUAAGUGGGAGAGCGCUAAAUGUUAUUUAAAAUGGCUCUGCCACCUUCUUGGGUCUUUGCAUAUUUUACGUAGACCCUAGAUGGCGACUGCUCAGCUUGCAUUCCAGCGGCCACAGACAGGUCAUUUUAACCUACUUGAACCUAUCCCUUGUGGCUGACGCCAUCUUCUUCUGCAAGGUCCUCUUCAGUUUUUGGUACGUCAUUUGGCAAUAGCUGUUGUCACGCAUGCGUGCAAGUACAGCAGUGACAUUGGCUGAAAAGGAACAGGUUCAGGUACCAUUGGGAGUCUUGCGGAAUUCGGCAAAGUCCACAGACGGUGACAGUGCCACUUACCUACAGAUAAACUAUAGUUUAAAUUGUAGCAUUUAUACCACGUGGUUAAAUAAAUUUUUUAGCCUUCAACAUUAGGCAUGGUGAAGACAAUUGUGGAUAGAUUACAAGUCCCAUGACUAUGUAGCAGUAGGGAUCAUGUGCAUUAGAUUUGUUAGCAUUUAUUAAUAAUAUUAUAUUAGCAUUUAUAUUUAUUAUAUUUGUCUUGAUGUAGUGGAUUAUCAGCGGAAACAUUUGCGUCAGCUAUUUUCUGUUGCAGUUCUGCUGUAGAGGAGAGUGACCUCAUAUAGUCAAAUAAAACACAGGAGUCUCCCACUGUUUUAAAAUGGAGUGACAAUUUUGUUGAAUUGCCACAUUCGUAGUGAGCAGUUUCUCCAGUAGUGCAGUAUGCACGCGUUCUGUGUGUGUAUCUCACUGCAAGAUUAACUAAUUUGCAUGUUUAUUAACAUACAAGAUGAUAUAGAAAAUAGCACAACCAAUUGCUUUUAAUUCGUUUCUAGUGUGUGCUAAAAUUGAAUAGACCAAAUGUCACUCAGCAAGCUGUAGUAGUUACGUUACACAGAGACAGUCACUGCUGCCCUGAGGUAUCAGAAAACAAUGGCUCUGGUUAAGUUGCCAUGAACCUACCCCUGCUCAUGUUCAAACAUUAAAGCAGCAUUGUCCCUCCCCCGCCCCUCAUGAAAAAUGUGUAUUUCAGAAAGACAAUCUUUCCGAAAUACUAAUUUUGACUGUUUUGGCAUUUCACUGAAAUUCCAACCUAGUCAAGAGAUAUACUAAGUCAAAGUAGGGAGUACUUUGUCUCUGUAUAUUUCCUCCGCCUGACUUUCUGACUUCUACAGCUGAAGAAGACCCACCCAAACCAGAUGGCCACACCUGGGAGGGAUAGGUUCACGUAUGUAUAUCUCACCUUUAGCUCCCCCCUCCCCUAGUCACUGGACCCCCAGUGGCGAUGUCUUUAUCGGAUUCUUUGAAAAUUCCCCAGACGGUAACAGCGCCACUUUAAUAUAAAUCUACCGAACUCCUCAGUAAGGUGAGAAAAUAGUGGUGGUAAUAAAUGGUGAUUAAAAAAUAACUCCUUGACGAUGAGGGAGUCAAGGUACGUCUAAAUGGACAACAUACAUAGGAAACAUUCUUAACAAAUCCUAAAAAAUCUCAAGAGUUACUAAUAUACUGAUCUUGAAGUUUGCAGUUAAUCCCUUUUUCACAUUAUAUACAUGCAGAAACUAAUUAAACUUAUUAAGCUAAUCAGUGCUCUAGUAUAUAAAUGUAUGGAAGCAGGACUGAGCAUGGACGUGUGAUGUCUUGAGAGGGGAAAGUGCACAAACUCACAAGCAUAUGACACUCGUGAUACCGCUGUACCACUCGUGUGUGCUAUAUGUUAAUACUUUCCAAUGAUAAUGCAUAGGUAAACGUUAACAGUGUGACAUGCGCUUGCAUGGAUUUCUGUAGAUCAAGUAAUGUUUGCUUACUUCCUUUUAGAAUGGUAAGGCAAAAUAUGACCAGGUUAUUCUGUCUUUUGUUACAGGUAAAGGACAUUUGGUGUGAUUGAUAUGGAAGUCAUCUCUAAGGAGGAGAUGCUGGGAAUGGAAUUGUGGAUGAAAACUGGACAAUAUGGACAAAAUAGAAAUCGUUCAUUUAUAAAAGGAGAUAAUGUGUUCUAAUAUGAAUGGAUAAUGCAGUAAUAGAUUCCUUGAAUUGAAAUCAUUUCACAGAAUAAAGGGUCUACCGUAGGCUUGCUGUGUCACAUUUAUUAGUGAUGAUCCCCCAACCACUCCUGUAAUGCUCAGCCAAAUCUUCUGGCAGCCUAAAUAGAAAGGGAAGUAUAGUUUACAAACAGCAUCAGCUGACCAGUAUCUGUCAAUGGGAGGGAACAGCAGGCUGUAGUGGGUUUUGUGCUUGGAGUGUUUCUUUAAAGAUCAGGCACUUAAUAAGCUUGUGAACUGCAAAUCCUAUUAUUCCUAACAAUGCCUAGAGCCUCAUGGCUGUUGCAGAUCACAAACAUUAUUAAACAUCAGGCACUGCAUGGCUGUGAACUAUAAAUUCUAUGAUGGGCAAUCAAGCUUAUGGGAUGGCUGAGCAUCAUCCUGCCCAAUCUCACAGCCCCCCAUUUUGUAAGCUAGUUGGGAGUUCGUCGAACUUCCCAAUUGUCCCAUUGCUGUCCCAAGUAGUGAAGCCGUGCCAAAAGGCCCGUGAGGUCCUAUAUGGCCAGUCCUGACUGUAUAGUUGACCUUAAUAUCAUUAUUCUGACACUGGAUCAAGAGCUCUGCAGAUGGUGAUGAACUAGUUUUAGAGAAGGAUCAUAUUAGAUGUGGUUUAUCAAUUGUCCACGCCUGCAUGAAUAUAAGCUACAUUCUCCUCUUAAUAACAUGAUUUUAUUUGUGUACUUAACAUUUACUUAAAACAACUUAGAUCCAAAUUUUAGUAUUGCAAUUAUUAUUACUACUAAUAUUUAUAUAGCGCCAGCAUAUUCCGUAGCGCUUUACAAUAUUAUCAGAGGGGGAAAUUUAACAAUAAAUGAGACUAUUACAAAAACUUACAGGAACAAUAGGUUCCAAUAGGGCGCUGCUCAAACGAGAAAAUUCAAAAUCAGUUAGAGCAAUUAGAGACUUGAAUUCCAUAUUAAUUAAGUAGCCUAACUGUGCAAUACAGCUUUUCUCAGUGGUUGGAUUUGCAACUGAUUUAGGGGUCUGUAAAACAUGCAUAACACCCAGUGUUACUCACUAAAUUGUGAGUAUUUAGGCCUAAGGAAGGAAAAAUUUGCCAAGCCAAUUUGGGCUAAUAUUUGUAAUUCCCUCUGAGUUCCCUUUACGUUCCCAAAGAGUUUACAGUUUAGUAAAAGUCCUGAAUUCUGCAUUCUUCAAACAUUUAAAAUCAAAUUGCGAUCUGGCAAACUUCCUGCCAGGUUUACUUAAUGUAUCAUAAAUAAAUCCCAUUUAAAAUUAGUUGUUAAAAAAACAGUACAAAACAUUAAACAGCUGGGGACUUUAAUAUUUCUUUAGCCACGACCAGCAAUUAGCAAGGGAUCACAGGAGCCGUAGGUAGCAAAAUCAAUUAAAUGCCCACUUCUGCAUUCCUUCCCACAGUAUCAGCUUAACACAAUUUCCCAGUUGGACAUGUGAUAAUGCUUUUGUCUGGCUUGUUACUCCUUUACUGCGAGCAUCUUAUACAUGGCUUAAUCAAAACAUUCUGCAUUCAUGGUGGAGGGAGCCAUAGUACCAAGAUGGUGACUGGGUACUUGUACAGACUAGGCUGGGUAGAUGUUGCUUUGAAAAUGCAUCUAAAGAGCAUAGGUUGGUAUACAGCUGGGUACUGAAGGAGUAUAAAAGUAAUGAGGGUGGUUUAAGAGUUAUGCAAGAAAAAAACAAACAAACAAAAAAAGAAACACAGAAAACCCCCCCACACUGUUGGAACCAUUGGUUUGUUAUUUUCAAAGCUAGUUAAUAAACUGCUCAUUGCAGUUUCAUGGGACACUGGGUGGAUCUUAUUAACUUUCAAUAUAAAACAUAAAAAACACCCUACAAUUGCUUAAAUGUGAUGCAAAGUUAAUGAUUCGUCUAAGGCAAAGGAAAGGUUUUUUUACUGUAAGAACAAUCAGGAUGUGGAAUUCUCUGCCUGAAGAAGUGGUUUUAUCAGAGUCCAUACAGAUGUUCAAACGGCUACUAGAUGCAUACUUGCAAGAACAGAAUAUUCAAGGAUAUAAUCUUUCAAUGUAGGGUAAUAACUGCUUGAUCCAAGGAUAAAUCUGACUGCCAUUCUGGGGUCAAGAAGGAAUUUUUUUCCUAGCUUG